rnacentral:ncRNA from 1 species
UCGGCUCCGGUUCACGCCACGCACGAUCAGGCGACCCGGCGGCC